GACGAACGCUGGCGGCGUGCUUAACACAUGCAAGUCGAACGGAAAGGCCCUGCUUUUGUGGGGUGCUCGAGUGGCGAACGGGUGAGUAACACGUGAGUAACCUGCCCUUGACUUUGGGAUAACUUCAGGAAACUGGGGCUAAUACCGGAUAGGAGCUCCUGCUGCAUGGUGGGGGUUGGAAAGUUUCGGCGGUUGGGGAUGGACUCGCGGCUUAUCAGCUUGUUGGUGGGGUAGUGGCUUACCAAGGCUUUGACGGGUAGCCGGCCUGAGAGGGUGACCGGCCACAUUGGGACUGAGAUACGGCCCAGACUCCUACAGGAGGCAGCGGUGGGGAAUAUUGCACAAUGGGCGGAAGCCUGAUGCAGCAACGCCGCGUGCGGGAUGACGGCCUUCGGGUUGUAAACCGCUUUCGCCUGUGACGAAGCGUGAGUGACGGUAAUGGGUAAAGAAGCACCGGCUAACUACGUG
rnacentral:rRNA from 1 species